CCUUAUGUCUUGUGUUUUCUACCAUGCAGUCGAGCGGCAGCGGAAAGUAGCUUGCUACUUUGCCGGCGAGCGGCGGACGGGUGAGUAAUGUCUGGGAAACUGCCUGAUGGAGGGGGAUAACUACUGGAAACGGUAGCUAAUACCGCAUAACGUCGCAAGACCAAAGAGGGGGACCUUCGGGCCUCUUGCCAUCAGAUGUGCCCAGAUGGGAUUAGCUAGUAGGUGGGGUAACGGCUCACCUAGGCGACGAUCCCUAGCUGGUCUGAGAGGAUGACCAGCCACACUGGAACUGAGACACGGUCCAGACUCCUACGGGAGGCAGCAGUGGGGAAUAUUGCACAAUGGGCGCAAGCCUGAUGCAGCCAUGCCGCGUGUAUGAAGAAGGCCUUCGGGUUGUAAAGUACUUUCAGCGGGGAGGAAGGCGUUGAGGUUAAUAACCUCAGCGAUUGACGUUACCCGCAGAAGAAGCACCGGCUAACUCCGUGCCAGCAGCCGCGGUAAUACGGAGGGUGCAAGCGUUAAUCGGAAUUACUGGGCGUAAAGCGCACGCAGGCGGUCUGUCAAGUCGGAUGUGAAAUCCCCGGGCUCAACCUGGGAACUGCAUUCGAAACUGGCAGGCUAGAGUCUUGUAGAGGGGGGUAGAAUUCCAGGUGUAGCGGUGAAAUGCGUAGAGAUCUGGAGGAAUACCGGUGGCGAAGGCGGCCCCCUGGACAAAGACUGACGCUCAGGUGCGAAAGCGUGGGGAGCAAACAGGAUUAGAUACCCUGGUAGUCCACGCCGUAAACGAUGUCGACUUGGAGGUUGUGCCCUUGAGGCGUGGCUUCCGGAGCUAACGCGUUAAGUCGACCGCCUGGGGAGUACGGCCGCAAGGUUAAAACUCAAAUGAAUUGACGGGGGCCCGCACAAGCGGUGGAGCAUGUGGUUUAAUUCGAUGCAACGCGAAGAACCUUACCUACUCUUGACAUCCAGAGAACUUAGCAGAGAUGCUUUGGUGCCUUCGGGAACUCUGAGACAGUGCCUGCAUGGCUGUCGUCAGCUCGUGUUGGUGAAAUGGUUUGGGUUAAGUCCCGCAACGAGCGCAACCCUUAUCCUUUGUUGCCAGCGGUCCGGCGGGAACUCAAGGAGACUGCCAGUGAUUAAACCUGGGAAGGAAAGGUGGGGAUGAACGUCAAGUCAUCAUGCCUACGAGUAGGGCUACCACACGUGCCUACAUGGCGCAUACAAGGAGAGCGACCUCGCGGAGAAGCAGCGGGACCCUCAUAUAAGGUGGCGCGUCCGAUAGGUUG
rnacentral:rRNA from 1 species